GAGCUAGCCAGUUAAUCUUGGUAUAUGAAUGUGUCUCUGCCUGCCUAUAGAAAUGUAGCAAAAGCUGGCAAUAGUGAUACCAUUCUUUGAAUCUUAAGGACUACUGAAGUGAUCCAGGCUUCUUAAAAUGGCUACAGUA
rnacentral:snoRNA from 1 species